rnacentral:rRNA from 1 species
GAUGAACGCUGGCGGCGUGCCUAAUACAUGCAAGUCGAGCGAACGGACGAGAAGCUUGCUUCUCUGAUGUUAGCGGCGGACGGGUGAGUAACACGUGGAUAACCUACCUAUAAGACUGGGAUAACUUCGGGAAACCGGAGCUAAUACCGGAUAAUAUUUUGAACCGCAUGGUUCAAAAGUGAAAGACGGUCUUGCUGUCACUUAUAGAUGGAUCCGCGCUGCAUUAGCUAGUUGGUAAGGUAACGGCUUACCAAGGCAACGAUGCAUAGCCGACCUGAGAGGGGGAUAGGCCACACGGGAACUGAACCAGGGGCCAGAGUCCUACGGGAGGCAGCAGGAGGGAAUCUUCCGCAAAGGGCGAAAGCCUUACGGAGCAACGCCGCGUGAGUGAUGAAGGUCUUCGGAUCGUAAAACUCUGUUAUUAGGGAAGAACAUAUGUGUAAGUAAAUGUGCACAUCUUGACGGUACCUAAUCAAAAAGCCACGGCUAACUACGUG